GGCCGGUUAGCUCAGUCAGUUAGAGCAUGGUGCUGAUAACACCAAGGUCACGGGUUCGAUCUGUUCAGUUCC
rnacentral:tRNA from 1 species